rnacentral:rRNA from 2 species
GCAUAUCAAUAAGCGGAGGAAAAGAAACCAACAGGGAUUGCCCUAGUAACGGCGAGUGAAGCGGCAACAGCUCAAAUUUGAAAUCUGGCCUCGGCCCGAGUUGUAAUUUGCAGAGGAUGCUUCUGGCGCGGUGCCUUCCGAGUUCCCUGGAACGGGACGCCACAGAGGGUGAGAGCCCCGUAUGGUCGGACACCAAGCCUGUGUGAAGCUCCUUCGACGAGUCGAGUAGUUUGGGAAUGCUGCUCUAAAUGGGAGGUAAAUCUCUUCUAAAGCUAAAUACCGGCCAGAGACCGAUAGCGCACAAGUAGAGUGAUCGAAAGAUGAAAAGCACCUUGAAAAGGGGGUUAAAUAGUACGUGAAAUUGUUGAAAGGGAAGCACUUAUGACCAGACUUGGGCCGGGCGGCUCAUCAGGGGUUCUCCCCUGUGCACUCCGCCCGGCACAGGCCAGCAUCGGUUCUCGUGGGGGGAUAAGACCGUCAGGAACGUAGCACCCUCCGGGGUGUGUUAUAGCCUGGCGGACGAUACCCCCGUGGGGACCGAGGUCCGCGCUCCGCAAGGAUGCUGGCGUAAUGGUCAUCAGUGACCCGUCUUGAAACACGGACCAAGGAGUCGUCCAUUAGAGCGAGCGUUUGGGUGUAAAACCCGCACGCGUAAUGAAAGUGAACGCAGGUGAGAGCUUCGGCGCAUCAUCGACCGAUCCUGAUGUUCUCGGAAGGAUUUGAGUAAGAGUUUUAACGGACGGACCCGAAAGACAGUGAACUAUGCUUGUAUAGGGUGAAGCCAGAGGAAACUCUGGUGGAGGCUCGCAGCGGUUCUGACGUGCAAAUCGAUCGUCAAAUAUGAGCAUGGGGGCGAAAGACUAAUCGAACUGUCUAGUAGCUGGUUACCGCCG